GAAGGAGAGAACAGGCGAAGGAGAGAACAGGCGAAGGAGAGAACAGAGGAAGGUGAGAACAGAGGAAGGUGAGAACAGAGGAAGGUGAGAACAGAGGAAGGUGAGAACAGAGGAAGGUGAGAACAGAGGAAGGAUAGAACAGAGGAAGGAGAGAACAGAGGGAGGAGAGAACAGAGGAAGGAGAGAACAGAGGAAGGAUAGAACAGAGGAAGGACUUUGUUGUCCUUAAGCCAUUUUGCCAAAACUUUGGAAGUAUACUUGGGGUCAUUGUCCAUUUGGAAGACCCAUUUGCGGCCAAGCUUUAACUUCCUGACUGGUGUCUUGAGAGUUUGCUUCAAUAUAUCCACAUAAUUCUCCUUCCUUGUGAUGCCAUCUAUUUUGUGAAAUGCACCAGUCCCUCCUGCAGCAAUGCACCCCCGUACUUCACGGUUGGGAUGGUGUUCUUCGGCUUGCAAGCCACCCCCUUUUUCUUCCAAACAUAACGAUGGUCAUUAUGGCCAAACCGUUUUAUUUUUGUUUCAUCAGACCAGGGGACAUUUCUCCAAAAAGUAUGAUCUUUGUUCCCAUGUUCAGUUGCAAACCGUAGUCUGGCUUUUUUAUGGUGGUUUUGGAGCAGUGGCUUCUUCCUUGCUGAGCGGCCUGUCAGGUUAUGUUAUUUUUAUUAAUGAGGUCUUGGCUGAUUUCUUUUGAUUUUCCCAUGAUGUCAAGCAAAGAGACACUGAGUUUGAAGGUAGGCUGUGAAAUACAUCCACAGGUACACCUCCAAUUGAC